rnacentral:tRNA from 2 species
CAGUGAAUAGUUUAUUAAAAUAUUAAUUUUGGAGAUUAAAGAUAUAUCUAUUAUUUUGCUGA